CUGUUGUAUGAAAGAGAAAAGGUUAACAUUUCCCUUGCCAAGUAUGAAAGAGGUCCUAGGGCCUGUACAACACAUGUACAGGUAAGACAUUGCACCUACGUUGUGCCAUGUCCCCAUGGCCAGUUUUUUUGU
rfam:Canis lupus familiaris chromosome 14, whole genome shotgun sequence.